rnacentral:rRNA from 1 species
CUGUCUCUUUUUAAAUAUUAUUUUAAUUUAAUUUUUAAGUUAAAAAGCUUAAAUUUUUUUAAAGGACGAGAAGACCCUAUAGAGUUUUAUAAUUAUAAAUUUAUUAAAUUUAAAGUUAUUUUAAUAAAAAUAUAAUUAUUUUAUUGGGGCGAUAGAAAAAUUAAAUAAACUUUUUUAUUAAAUAAACAUUAAUUUAUGAGUAUAUGAUCUUAAUUUUUAGAUUAUUAGAAUAAAUUACCUUAGGGA